rnacentral:rRNA from 1 species
AGGUAAUAGAUACCCGGGUAGUCCUAGCUGUAAACGGUGCACGUUUGGUGUGGGAGGCAACCCCUUCCGUGCCGAAAGCUAAACGCGAUAAAAACGUGCCGCCUGGGUAGUACGGUCGCAAGACUAAAACUCAAAGAAAUUGACGGGGACCCGCACAAGCGGUGGAGUAUGUGGCUUAAUUCAAUGCAACGCGAAGAACCUUACCAGGGCUUGACAUGUAUUGUAACCCCGGUGAAAGCCGGGCAGCAUGGAAACAUGCGCUUUACACAGGUGCUGCAUGGCUGUCGUCAGCUCGUGUCGUGAGAUGUUGGGUUAAGUCCCGCAACGAGCGCAACCCUUAUGAUUUGUUGCCACCGGUUCAUUCCGAGCACUCAAAUCAGACUGCCCAGAUUAACUGGGAGGAAGGUGGGGAUGACGUCAAGUCCGUAUGGCCCUUACGUCCUGGGCUGCACACGUACUACAAUGUCCAGUACAAAUUGAACCGAUACCGCAAGGUGGAGGAAAUCAAACAAAACUGGGCUCAGUUCAGAUUGCAGGCUGCAAC